UCCUUAAAAUGAAUUCGCCCAAAGUUACUUCUUGCGCGUGUUCGGUUUGUUAAGUUAUUUACGGAAUUACAUAAAACAGAAAAAAUAAGGUUUUAUUAAUUAUGAUAAACACAUUCCUACGUUCAAAAUGCGUAUCUUUGUUAAAAGAACGCCAGGUCUCUCAGAUCGAAAGAGUUGUACAUCGGUUAGCCUCUUUUACGGCACGACACAUCUUGCAAGAAACCUCCGAUGAGGCCGGUACUUUACUCACACGUUUCGCGAAGCAUGUUGCGUUGGAAUUGCAAAACCAUGUUCCAAUUGUUCCCACUGUGAUAAGGUAUGCCGAUUAUUUUCCUAUAACUGACACGCGCUACUUGCAGAAGGAAUUGACUGGAAUAUCACCAGACCAAUUACCAGCAUUAAUUGUUUUUGCAUUCACAUAUCGACCCAGCGCUGAUCCUAAUAAAUACGCCACUUUAUUGAAUGAGUUGGAUGCCACAGCAAUAAAAUUACUUCCUAAAAUGGAUCUUGACACCAUAUUAAGAACUUUAUAUGCCUUCCUCUAUCUCAUGCCUAAUUGGAUAGUCCGAAUUGAUUUUUAUAACGCGGCGAUGGAGCGUAUACUGGCAAAGGAAAUUUCCGAGAACUUAUCUAAGGAACGAUUUGUUCAAAUAUGCUUCUAUUUGGGUUUAGAGAAAAACCGUGGAGCACAAAAUGGCGAAUUAUUUCAUAAAUUGCUAAAUACGCGUUUAGAUUCAUAUCUUCCUGUAUUAAGUACACUAGAUUUGGUUAUGGUUGCCAAUGCCGCUUUCAAAACAUCUACUCGUAUAGAAAGCAAUGCAUAUAACCAACGCUUAAUAGAAGAAGUACUUAAACUCUCCCCCAAUGAACCCAGCAACGACGCACUUCUAGUAACUUUAGUCAAAGCAUUGCGUCUACAGCGCGUAUAUUCGGAAGAAGUUUUUGAAUAUUUGAAAGAGUACUGUAGUGAAGAUAUCAUUGCAAAGCUACAAACCCGUGGCUGUACUCAUUUGUUUGCCUAUUUUGCCGAUAAUCUUUGGGAUGAGCAAUGCACUAUUGAACCAUUGGUGAAACAUUGUUUACGACGCCUGGUCCCAUCGCAAAAGUUCGAUAUGGUUAGUGAGCACAUGCGUGGCAAAGAUCUUGCUAAAUUUUUAUGGUGUUGCGCACAACUUAACUGCAAAAUACCAGCAAGUGAUCUUAAACGGAUUGAGUUAAUCCUCCUGGAUAAAGUAGAUCAGAACGAGUUUAGAUAUUUUGUGGACCAAUUGGUGGAAAGCUGUCUUUCGUUGUGGAUAUUAGGACACAAGUCGUUCGAUCUAAUUGAGGCAGCUGUGAGCAUAAAAUUGCGAUCACAAUUUAGUAAUAAGAAUUACCAAAAGGAUCUGCCUAAAGUCGAAAGUCGUUUUCAAGUUCUUCUUACAUGUAUUGCCAUAGAGGAACCGACGUGGAGGUUUAAAAAUUUGAAAACACCUACAUUACAAAACUUCGAUACACCCGCACCGUCGUAUUUACUAAAGAACCGUAGCGAUUUGGAGAAAAUAACAAACAAAAUUGGCGAAUCCCCUAUUGUUGAUUUUGCUAAACUUGUUUGUCCUAUUAAUGGCAUAAAUAUACCUAGCAUAUUAGUGAGUUAUAAGGAACCAGCUAAUUCAAAGAUGUUUGUUGAAUUUCUUUCCGAAGACCAAGAGCUGAAAUUUAGCAAAUCUCCCGUUGGGCUAAUGCGACUUAAGAUUCGUUUAUUAAAAGCGAUGGGAUACAAGGUUACAACCUUGGCAGCAGAUGACUAUGACGAAAAUAAUUUAGAAUAUUUGUUAUCCAAUGUCGAGGCCGAUGAUGUUCCCAAGGCUCAAUCAAUAAAAGUGUAAACGCUAAACGAUUUUGUGAUGCUCAUGUGUUGCUUAACACUUAUAGAAAUAUGUGUACAUAUAGGUAUUUUUUUUCUGCAGGCGGAGCUCGGCCAAGCCAAAAUACCUAUUGUGGAAGUAUAGAACAGAAAAUAGUAGCUUUCAAGCUUUGGAACAAUCUGAUGAACUUUAUCAAGGAGUUAUUCGCAACUUGGUGCAAGACAUUCUAAUAUAGGCGUGAAAUUAUUUCUUUCUCAUCUUCAUCUUUAUUUUUUAAAUAAUUCUAUUUGUUGCUUUGCAAAUUGGUUUUUAUUACCCUUUUUUCGUUAUAUUCAAAAAUUGCAAUAUUUUAUAUAUUUC